GGGGCCGUCGUCUAGCUUGGUAGGAUGCCAGCCUGGGGAGCAUUUCCCUAUUCCACCAAUGCCUAGAGCGCUGGUGGUCCGGGGUUCAAAUCCCCGCGGCCCCA
rnacentral:tRNA from 1 species